rnacentral:rRNA from 1 species
CCUACGGGAGGCAGCAGUAGGGAAUCUUCCACAAUGGGCGAAAGCCUGAUGGAGCAACGCCGCGUGGGUGAAGAAGGUCUUCGGAUCGUAAAACCCUGUUGUUAGAGAAGAAAGUGCGUGAGAGUAACUGUUCACGUUUCGACGGUAUCUAACCAGAAAGCCACGGAUAACUACGUGCCAGCAGUCGCGGUAAUACGUAGGUGGCAAGCGUUAUCCGGAGUUAUUGGGCGUAAAGGGACAGACGGUGGUCUUUUAAGUCGGAUGUGAAAGCCUUCGGCUUAACCGGGGUCGUUCAUUGGAAACUGGGAGACUUGAGUGCAGAAGAGGAGAGUGGAACUCCAUGUGUAGCGGUGAAAUGCGUGGAUAUAUGGAAGAACACCAGUGGCGAAAGCGGCUCUCUGGUCUGUAACUGACGCUGAGGUUCGAAAGCGUGGGUAGCGAACAGGAUUAGAUACCCUUGUAGUC